rnacentral:rRNA from 1 species
CAGAAACUACGAAAGGAAUUGACGGGGCCCGCACAAGCGGAGAGCAUGUGGUUAAUUCGAUGAUACGCGAGGAACCUUACCUGGGCUCGAACGUAAGAUGACUGUAGGUGAAAGCUUACAUCUCUUCGGAGCAUUUUACGAGGUGCUGCAUGGUUGUCGUCAGCUCGUGCCGUGAGGUGUCGGGUUAAGUCCCAUAACGAGCGCAACCCUACCUUUAGUUGCCAUCAGGUAAUGCUGGGGACUCUAAAGGAACUGCCUACGCAAGUAGUGAGGAAGGCGGGGAUGACGUCAAAUCAGCACGGCCCUUACGUCCAGGGCUACACACGUGCUACAAUGGCCGAUACAGAGGGCAGCUACCUGGUGACAGGAUGCAAAUCUCCAAAGUCGGUCUCAGUUCGGAUCGGAGUCUGCAACCCGACUCCGUGAAGUUGGAUUCGCUAGUAAUCGCGCAUCAGCCAUGGCGCGGUGAAUACGUUCCCGGGCCUU